CAUCAAAAACUGGUGUCAAGUGAGCCCUCUCUGGAAUACGGCGUGCGACUUUAAUACAAUCAUUACGGUAGCAGCAAGAAAGGCUUCAUUUCAAAGUAAGAGUAAAGCGUAACUAAUAGUUUCCUCAGAAUCAUUUCACUUCUCACUUAGAGUAUACCUUCUUGUUUCCUCCUAGUUUCUGUGGAAACUAGGAGUUUUCAUUUUAUUAGUACUUUAAAACUGUACUUUUUUCUCUCUUAAGUACACAAUUUCAAAAGGGCAGUACUUCAAAAUACCACAUCAGAUCUGAGUGAAACUUUGUGGGUGACAUGACAAGAAGGUAUACUAUAAGUGAGAAGUGAAAUGAUUCUGUGGAAACUAGGAGUUUUCAUUUUAUUAGUACUUUAAAACUGGAGUUUUUUUCUCGCUUAAGUACACAAUUUCAACAAGACAGUACUUCAAAAUACCACAUCAGAUUAGAGUGAAACUUUGAGGGUAAGAGUACAUGAAAGGAUACUAUAAGUGAGAAGUGAAAUGGUUCUGUGGAAACAAGGAGGUACCCUUUACUCUUUCUUUGAAAUGAAGCCUUUCUUGCUGCUACCGUAAUGAUUGUAUUAAAGUCGCACGCCGUAUUCCAGAGAGGGCUCACUUGACAGCAGUUUAGCGAGAGCGUGCUGGCUUGACACCAGU